rnacentral:tRNA from 1 species
GGGCGGCUAGCUCAGUUGGUUAGAGCACCUCGUUUACACCGAGGGGGUCGGGGGUUCGAGCCCCUCGCCGCCCACCA